rnacentral:rRNA from 1 species
CCCUAYRUAKWGUUUGWUCAUGGCUCAGAUUGWASGCUGGCGGCAGGCCUMACACAUGCMARGUCGAGCGGURRCAGGGGAAKYUUKCUUCUCGCUGACGAGCGGCGGACGGGUGAGUAAUGUAUGGGGAUCUGCCCRAUAGAGGGGGAUACCCRCUGGAAACGGUGGCUAAUMCCGCAUAMUCUCUUAGGAGCAAAGCAGGGGAMCUUCGGUCCUUGCGCUAUYGGAUSAACCCAUAUGGGAUUAGCUAGUWGGUGRGGUAAUGGCUCACCWAGGCGACGAUCCCUAGCUGGUCUGAGAGGAUGAUCAGCCACACUGGGACUGAGACRCGGCCCAGMCUCCUACGGGAGGCAGCAGUGGGGAAUAUUGCACAAUGGGSGCAASCCUGAUGCAGCCAUGCCGCGUGUAUGAAGAAGGCCYUAGGGUUGUAAAGUACUUUCAGUSGGGAGGAAGGSGYUGAUGCUAAUAUCAUCAACGAUUGACGUUACYGACAGAAGAAGCACCGGCUAACUCCGUGCCASCASCCGCGGUAAUACGGAGGGUGCAAGCGUUAAUCGGAAUUACUGGGCGUAAAGCGCACGCAGGCGGUUGAUUAAGUUAGAUGUGAAAUCCCCGGGCUUAACCUGGGAAUGSCAUYUAARACUGGUCAGCUAGAGUCUUGUAGAGGGGGGUAGAAUUCCAKGUGUAGCGGUGAAAUGCGUAGAGAUGUGGAGGAAUACCGGUGGCGAAGGCGGCCCCCUGGACAAAGACUGACGCUCAGGUGCGAAAGCGUGGGGAGCAAACAGGAUUAGAUACCCUGGUAGUCCACGCUGUAAACGAUGUCGAUUUGAAGGUUGUUCCCUUGAGGAGUGGCUUYCGGAGCUAACGCGUUAAAUCGWCCGCCCKGGGA